rnacentral:lncRNA from 1 species
CGGGUGAUACAUUACUUUACCGAUGUAUAAUCGGUCUUUACAUGCAAUAUAUAUAACAAAAAACAUUUAGACAUGAACAGUUUUGUCCUGCUCACAGAAUUAGUCGAAGAUUUACAGUAUUUUGUAUUCCACUUUCCAUCAUUAAGAUUCAUCUGUACACACGUUCGUAAAUCAUCUGGUUGUUCAUUUCCCCAAUAUGUAUACGAUGAUGUUACAG